rnacentral:sRNA from 1 species
CAAGUCGUAACAAGGUUUCCGUAGGUGAACCUGCGGAAGGAUCAUUACCGAAUAGUCGACACGAGUUGUUGCUGGUCUCCGUAUGGGGACACGUGCACGCUCUGUCCACAUACAUCCACUCACACCUGUGCACCUUCUGUAGUUCUAUGGUUUGGGGGACUUUGUCUUCCUGCUGUGGUUCUGCGUUUUUACACACACGCCGUAACAAAGUUUUAUGGGAUGUAUGCCGCGUAUAACGCGAUACAAUACAACUUUCAGCAACGGAUCUCUUGGCUCUCGCAUCGAUGAAGAACGCAGCGAAAUGCGAUAAGUAAUGUGAAUUGCAGAAUUCAGUGAAUCAUCGAAUCUUUGAACGCACCUUGCGCCCUUUGGUUAUUCCGGAGGGCAUGCCUGUUUGAGUAUCAUGAACACCUCAACUCCCAUGGUUUGCCAUGGCGGUUUGGAUUUUGGAGGUCUUGUGGGCCCUCGGUCUGCUCCUCUCAAAUGAAUUAGCUUGCCAGUGUCUGGUGGUUCACGGUGUGAUAAAUAUCUACGCCUGUGGCUUUCCACCAGGUAACCUUCAGUGAUGGAGGUUCGCUGGAGCUUAUAGAUGUGUCCCCCUCGGUGAGGGUGGCUCCUUGAAUGUUUGAUCUCAAAUCAGGUAGGACUACCCGCUGAACUUAA